rnacentral:rRNA from 1 species
GAUGAACGCUAGCGGCAGGCUUAACACAUGCAAGUCGAGGGGUAUAGUUCUUCGGAAUUAGAGACCGGCGCACGGGUGCGUAACGCGUAUGCAAUCUACCUUAUACAGGGGAAUAGCCCAGAGAAAUUUGGAUUAAUGCCCCAUAGUGUUAUCGAAUCGCAUGGUUUGAUAACUAAAGUUCCAACGGUAUAAGAUGAGCAUGCGUCCCAUUAGUUAGUUGGUAAGGUAACGGCUUACCAAGACAAUGAUGGGUAGGGGUCCUGAGAGGGAGAUCCCCCACACUGGUACUGAGACACGGACCAGACUCCUACGGGAGGCAGCAGUGAGGAAUUUUGGACAAUGGGCGCAAGCCUGAUCCAGCAAUGCGCGUGCAGGAUGAAGGCCUUCGGUUGUAAACUGCUUUGUACGGAACGAAACGGUGAGCUCUAAUACAG